GGUAUGGCUUGUUCCUUUACGUGAUGUGGAUCACAUUGAUUCAUUCAUAAAAAAAGACAGAAGGAUUAUAUGACUUUACUAAUUUUCCUUAUUUUAUUGUUUGAACACACCUUGUUUUUCUCUUGGUAUAUUCACCAUGUUUUAAAAAAUAUAAUAAAAAAAUACUUUUCUUUCUUGUGCCAGCAGCUGUGUGAGUGUAUUAGACCUUUGAUGUUUUCAGGCACACUAUAAGGAUUUUUGGAAAUAAAAGAUUUCUUUGAAAUUUUCAGUAAAAAAUGCAUGUAAAGACGCACAUAUCUAUAUGAUUUACCUAUUUUUGCUA
rnacentral:misc_RNA from 1 species